rnacentral:rRNA from 1 species
AGAGUUGAUCCUGGCUCAGAACGAACGUUGGCGGCGUGGAUUAGGCAUGCAAGUCGCGGGAAUCCAGCAAUGGGGAACCGGCGUAAGGGGCAGUAAAGCGUGGGUACCUACCCUGGGGUCUGGGAUAGCCGUCCGAGAGGGCGGGUAAUACCGGAUGACCUCGGGAGAGCAAAGCUCCGGCGCCCUGGGAGGGGCCCACAUGGUUUAUUAGCUAGUUGGUGAGGUGACGGCUCACCCAGGGGGAAAUUCCUAACCGGUGUUAAAACCCCACCCCCCCCACUCCCCCUGAAACCCUGGCAGACACCUACGGGUGGCUGCAGUCGAGGAUCUUCGGCGAUGGGUCGCAAGCCCGACCGAGCGACGCCGCGUGUGCGACGAAGGCCUUCGGGUUGUAAAGCACUGUCUAGGGGGAAAAAGGGUAAAACUUUGAUCUAUCCCUG